GCCGCGUCUAUUAAGUAUAAAAAAGAGAAGCCAGUGCGUAUUUUAGAACUCAACCGACCGUCGGAAUUUCUACGCUACCGACCGUCGGAAUUUAUGUUGAACUUUUAAGAGCUUGUUAAUCGGAAAAUCUAUGUAUGGGUAUUUAAGUGCUCUUCACGUUAUCUUGUUUUUCUGCAAGAAGUUCACUUUUGCAUAAUGGAAUUCAACAAUCGACUUUUGCAUGAUGAAUAAACCCUAAAUUUAUAUAUUGGUAUUCUACUUCUCUUCCCAUUAUCUCGACAUUCUUCCAUUAAAAGUUGCAGGUUCGAAUUCAAGAACUCGAUUAUUAAAUAAAAGUUCAACAACUCUUUUUGAAGUUACCUGGUAUUGUUAGAUUUUCUUGGAAUAAUUUGUUUUAAGAAAAAAAACCCAAGAAAUUGUUGUUUUUUUCAACUUACAUUGUUAUUCCUACUUGUUUUUUUUUGAACUCACAGUAUUCUUCAAUGCAUAUUUUAAAGAAAUUUAAGUUUUCAAGAAUAUAUUGACAUGAUAAAUAUCAAGGAAUCUGUGAUUUUUCAAACAACUUAUGUUGUUAUUCUCAUAAUAUGUGUUAAAGGGUAAUCUUUUAGGGACAUUAAAAAACCGAAUUUGCUAUUUGGAGUUCAAUUCGGUCUGGGUUUGUCUUGUUGAGGAGUUAGUUUUCAGCAUGGGUAUUGUGAUUUGUAGUAUUUUGAAUGAAGACAAUCAAUUAGACAGACUUCGUAUACGCCCUCACUGGCCAUUUUCCUUUACAUGGUCUAGAUUUUUCGACUUUGAUUGUUUCUUAAAUAUGGAAAAUAAUGCCAUGUAAGAGAAUGAGAAAUUUAUAUGGAUAAUCUUUUCUGAGACGUGGACUCUGAAAACAUCAUAGUUAAGUGAACAACGAUGGCAAGUCGUGCUUUCAUACAGUUUUAAUUGUUUAGACUAAUUGCACCUGCGAAGUUGUCGGUGGCUUGCACAAAAGCAAACCCGUUGGAGUGGUCAAGAAGGUUAUCGACGAAAAAUUCAUCAACUGAGGACUGUUGGUGGCUGCUUCCAAGGCUGUUUCUCAAUGCUUGUUAAAAGGCCAAAAACAGAAACAGAUGAGUAUUUACAGGAAAGAAAUCCCUUUAUAGUAGAUAGUCCCAGCAUAGCAUAAUUCAUUUAUUAUUCACCGCAAUAGAAUCCCUACAUUAUUAUUUACCGCAUAACAGUUUUUACAUUAUUAUCGCUGCUUAAACAUUCCCUGUAUGAUUACUUUUACCAAAUAAUGUCUUACUAUUUUGUAUUGCAAUUUUGUGACAUUACUGAAGAAAAGGAGAGUGAUAUAGGGCGCUUUAUCUUUUGUUACAUCACUUUGUGACUGCCUCGUGGAGUAUAUUCUUCUGUAGAUACUGCGGACCAUGUCAAUAAAUGUCCAUCCCUUUUACAUAGUCGAGGAUUAUGAUCUGUUGUUUUAAAUGUAGGUUAAGAGAGGAGUGGCUUGACUAAUUGCCACAAAAAAAGAAAAACAUGUCAGUUGUUCAUUUUUGUUCCAUGUUAGAUGUGCAAUCAACUUGCAAAAAAUAAUGUGCAUCAUUUAACUCCCUUCGUUGGCAACAUUGAUACUGAACCUGUUUAUCUGAUAAAGCUAUUUUGAAGUGUUUUUCAAGAAUCUCUUAUGGUGACUAGUUGAUUCUUAAUGGUACUUGUAGGAUUGGUGCUCCAUUCUUCUCUUUGUUGAGGAUAGUCUCACGAAUCUUUGGACUGUAAGUAACUCUGUCGGUGAGAGCAACUCCACAUUCCCUUUCCUGAGAGAGAUUCGAUCUUCACAGGAGUUGGAAAGUUCUUCUGAGAAGCACGAUACCGUGUCCAGAUUCCUCUUUCAGACAGAAUUUUGAAGUUGGUCAAUUCAUUGAUCUCUUGCUCAUUGCACAGUUCGUAUAAACUGGAAAUCCUGAAACUCAGAGCAACUCCUUUCAUCCAAUGCAGAAACUAGAGCUUUAAGGGAACUGUAGCAUUCUGCAAAAGCUAUCUUCUCAGAGCUUCCACAGCAGUCAUACCAUCAGUGCGAUCAAUCUACCGCCCAAAGUUGUGGUGACAGUGUAUUCUGAUGAAAGAUUUUGUUUAUUUGCAUGCAGUGAAGAUGACCUGCUAUGCACACGUGCUUCUCCUUCUCCGUUGCUGCCAUUAUCCAGUGGGUUUUGGAGUGAUCUGAGUACCCUUAACAAAUUGAAUGCAAGUGAUGGUUCAUUCGAACUCUCAAGAUACAUCUCAGAAUUUGCACCAAUAAAAAACUCAAAGUAUCUUAUAUUCUUGGACAAAAUGGAGGAGCCUCUCUCCAGAGAUUACAAUGCAGAGCGCUACUGGAACUAGUCUUAAGAAUCAGAAUAAUAUACUCGAUGCACUUCUGGCAUCUUGCAUCUUGUUGGUGCUUGAUGGGUUCCUGAUAUCAUUGAUAAAAACUGCCUGGUGGAGGAUUCCAAAGUUCUUUAAGAAGUUGAUAAGAAGUUUAUUACGCUUGUAGACGGAAGAAGUUCUUUAAGAAGUUGAUAAGAAGUUUAUUACGCUUGUAGACGGAAGAACACUUGCUAUAAUUAAUCAGUUCAUGCCUGAAAACUAUACUGACCAUUCGAAACUGUGGUUGUGGUUGGAUCUGUAACAUUCAUUCUCUAGCCUCAAGAUUAUUUACCAGGAAAAUUCAAGAACUUAUGUUGGAAUUCAAGAACCCGACUUUUGCAUAAUUGAAUUCAAGAACUCAACUUUUGCAUAAUUGAAUUCAAGAACUCGACUUCUGCAUGAUGAUUUUUACAAGAAAAAAUCAAGAAGUUGUUGUGCUUCUGACAUUGAGAAGCAAAGUAGAUAUCAGAUAUAUCCACUGUUUUUGUUGAACCUAAACUGUCCAAGAUCUUUAUAUGACUCAACUAUGGAAGCCUUCAAAUACCUCUGAGGAAUUUAAGCUGUUCCUGGAGAACAAUUCAAAACCACAUGUCUAGCUUCUUUUGGCUGCAAAACUGAACAGGCCAAUGAUCUCAAUUUGAUGCUUUUUCUAAAGAGAUAGGAGACUUGAUCAGCUGACGUUUAUAGUUCAGGUCUUUCUGAAUUAUAUUAUAUGAUGGUGAUGCUUGGUCACAUGUACAUUCUCGUAGUGAAGAAAAUCUUAAUAAUUAUUUGGUACCACAGCUAUGCUCUCCUCUAGGGUGGAUGGUUUUCGUAUAAAUGGAUUUAUGCUGGAAAUUGAGAUAAAACAGAUGAGUUUCUAGGGAAGAAGAAGAGUAGAAGUAGUCAUUUAGCUCCUCAGGGAAGAAGUUCUUUGACACAAACGAGUCUUCAAGAAUGGCAGCAGGAAAUAACAAUCUCAAGACAGUUCAUGAUGUGCCACUCAUUUGCCAGUAACUAGAGCUUUAUGCAGACUGUAGCGUUCUGCAAAAGCUAUGUGCUCAGAGCUUCCACAUGUACCGUCCCAUCAGUGAGAUCAAUCUUCCACCCAAAGUUGUGGUGACAGUGUAUUCUGAUGAAAGUUCCAGUGUGAAAAUGGAACUUGUUAACAUCUGGAAUAGCAAAUUAAAAACUCAAGGAGGUGCGGUGCACAAGUACCUGCAAUGGGGAGUCAAAAGAAGAAUUUGCGCCAACAAAAACUUAAAGUUUGUUCAAUUCUAUGAGAAAAUGGAGAUACUUAAUUCCAUCCAGAGAUUACAGACUUAGGUUGGAAUUCAAGAACCCGACUUUUGCAUAAUGGAAUUCAAGAAGUCGACUUUUGCAUGAUCAAUGAUCAAGAAGUUGUUGGUAUUGCCCUAAGCCCUAAAUCAAUUAGGAACUGAGAAAAGAUGUGGAGUUGUUUUGAAUGAAGACACUUAAUUGUAGACUUAAAACACCCUCACUCACUUGGCCCCUUUCCUUUACUAGGUCUGGACUUUUUGACUUUGAUUAUUUCUUAAAAAUAGAAAAAUUUUGCUAGGUAAGCAAAUGGAUAGUAUCCAUUAGGAUAGAUAUAAAACUACUAACGUGGUCUUUGUUGUCCUUGAAGGCCCCACUCACAUAAUUACGGAGAUGAGAUAUAUUUGUUGUUGAUCAUUACUAUAUGUACAGAUGUUUGAUUAUUUAUUCUUACUAAAGUUGAGUUGGAACAUACAUAUUGGUGCUCAAGUACUUUACUUAUGGCGACAGUAUGUGUGCCUCUUUCUUUCAUAUUCUUUUAUGCUUCCUUUUUGUCUGACCAUUUUAACCAUGGUUUCAAAUGCUUCCUCUACACCAGACACGUGAAUAACAGCCGAUAUGCAUGCUUUGCCAGCAAGCUUUGACUUUAAAGCAGAGGGUUUGAGCUCUAUUUCAGACAUUUUUUGGUUGGAAAUUGUUACUAAAAAGGCUCAGGGGAGGCCUAAUAGAUAUCUUAUGGUUUUGACAGGAAAAGUUUUAACGAUCAAUGAUGACAGGAAAAGUGUGCAACUAGUUAAUAUUCCUUUCCAUUGUCCAGAAACUGCAUCAUUUUCUACACUUUGUUUCCCUAACAACCACGGCUUAAUUUGCAGGCCCUUCGAUAUUUCUUCAUCAACUUAUUUCAGUAUGUUGUCCUGGCAAAAGAAACUAGAAACCUAAACUUUGGUUAAUAUUUACUAUAUCGGAUGCUUGUUUUUUUUUCUGUUUUUGUUUCCCUUGGCCUUGGUAAUGCAAAUAUCAAUUCUAGAUUUUUUCCAGAAGACCAAUAAAUAAAUUACUUCAUAACAUAGCUGUGUGUUUUGACAGUGCUUCUGACAUUGAGAAGCAAAGUAGAUAUCAGAUAUAUCCGCUGUUUUUGUUGAACCUAAACUGUCCAAGAUCUUUAUAUGACUCAACUUUGGAAGCCUUCAAAUACCUCUGAGGAAUUUAAGCUGUUCCUGGAGAACAAUUCAAAACCACAUUUCUAGCUUCUGUUGGCUGCAAAUUGAACAGGCGAAUGUCAACAAGGACAGGCCAAUGAUCUCAACUUUGAGGCUUUUUCUAAAGUGCUAUGCUCUCAUCAAGGGUGAAUGGGACUCGCAUAAAUGAUUCAUGCCGGAAAUGGAGGUAAAACAGGUGAGUUCAUAAGGAAGAAGAAGAGUAGAAGUAGUCAUUCAGCUCCUCAAGGAAGAAGUUCUUUGCCGCAAACGAGUCUUAAGGAAUGGCAGCAGGAAAUAACAAUAUCAAGACAGUUCAUGAUGUGCCACUCAUGCCAGAAACUAGAGCUUUAUGGAGACUCUAGCAUUCUGCAAAAACUAUCUGCUCAGAGCUUCCACAGGUAUCGUCCCAUCAGUGCGAUCAAUCUUCCACCCAAAGUUGUGGUGACAAUGUAUUCUCUGAUGAAAGGUCAAGUGUGAAAAUGGAACUUGCUAACAUCUGGAAUAGCAAGUUAAAAACUCAAGGGGGUGCACAAGUACCUGCAAUGGGGAGUCAAAAGAAGAAUUUGCGCCAACAAAAACUUCAAGUUUCUUAGAUUCGAUGAGAAAAUGGAGAUACAUUUAUCCAGAGAUUACAACGGAUACUGGAACAGAAAAUCCUAAGAAUCAGGAUACUAUACUUCUGGCGUUUUGCAUUUUGUUGUUGAUUCAUUGGUUCCUGAUACUAUUGAUAAAAACUGCCUGGAGGGUGCCAAAUUCAACAUAAGAAGUUUAUUCGGAUUGUGGCGAAUACAACGCUUGCUGUAUUGAUCAGGAUUGGCGCCCUGUCCUCCUCUUUAUUAAGCAUGGUUUCUUAUGCUUCCUUUACACCAUCGACAUCAAAAUACAGCCAUUCAGACGAUAUGCAUGCUUCCCCAGCAAGCUUCGGCUUUAAAAGAAAGGCUCUGACUGACGUUUUUUUGUUGGUAGUUGAUACUAAAACUCACGGGAGGUCAAAUGGAUUUAGUAAGGUUUUGAAGGACGGCAAGUAUUUGUGCCUUGGAGUUGAUGAUUGUAGACAAAAUGUUGGUACGACAGUGGGUUAGAGUCCCAUAUCAUAGUUGUGAUAUGAAUCCAGAAGCUCUGCGCACCCCUUUUCAUCUAAUAUCUUUACCUACAGAGGAUGAUUUCGUGGAUAACAAAUUCCGUACUUCAGCUUGCUCCAGUUAUAAAUCAGACUGCGUGUUAGGUUCUGUUAUGGGAGGAGUCUUAAACAAUUGUAGCUGGCAGAUCAACAGAGGAUGCCUCAUUUAGGGAGUCUCUUGAAAUUGAUGACGGUUCAAAUGAGAUGCAUGAGAAAAGGAAACCAUUUGUGCAGAGCUGUUCAUUGUAGAGAAGGCUGAUUCAUGAUGGAUCAUCUUUUGCUAGUGAUGAAGAUAUUGAGUUUGAAAAUGUAACUACAGAAAUAAACAAAAUCACCUUGAAGAUUAUUAUAGUUUUGAAUUUGAAGUAGCUGGUGACGUUAACCAGGACUUAAAUCAAAGGGGUCUCCUAGAGGCAAAGAAAUAUAUUUUGAGAACUUCUCCAGGUGCAAAACUCCGAGCAAGUCAUCGCGGAGGUCAAAAAUUUCCAGGCAAGGACAUUCUGGAUGAAGACAAUCAUCUUAUGGAUUUGGAUAAACAGACUUAAAAUUAUGGUUCUGCCUGCUAUCUUUUAGUCAAGAACCGUCUCCUCUGCCACCAGAUCCUUUGCUCUGGACCAGGUUUCAGGAUUUUAAUCCUUACAUCGCUGAAAAUGGGAUUGAAACUUCUGUUUAAUAUAAAGUUGUUGUCACAUACAAUUUUGGAAACGUGGAACAUAAUCUCUUGGUCCCUGCCAUAAAUAAUUUGGAAAAAGAGAACGGCUCGUUCUCAAAUCCUGCAAAGUCUGAUCUCAAUUUUUAUGCCCUUUCUAGAGAGGAUACGGACAGUAUUGGGGGACUUGUACCAUGGGAUCUUCAUCAUCUAUUAUGAUAAAUAUGAUUUCACACAGAAGUAUUCUCAUGGUGAAGAGAAUUUUAAGAAUUAUUUGAUACCACGAGUUAUGCUCUCCUAUAAAGGUUGGAAGGGGACUCGCAUAAAUGGGAUUGAUGCUGGAAAUCAAGGAAAAACAGAUGAUCUUAUAUAAUAAGGUAGAAGAAGAGUAGAAGAAGCCAUUCAGCUCCUCCAUUUUACCAAGGCAAGGAGAAGUUCUUUGCCAAGAGUGAAUUUCGAGGAAGGCAGCAGGACAAUAUUAAGACUGCUCAUGAUGUGCCACUAAUGCCAUAAAUCAGAGCGGUAAGGAGACUGCAUCAUUCUGCAGAAGCUAUCUGCUUGGAGCUUCCAUAGCAGUCAUCCCAUCAAUGUGAUCAAUCUUCCACCCCAAGUUGUGGUGACAGUGCAUUAUCCGAUGAAAGUCAACUGUGAAAAUGAAACUUGUUAACAUGUGGAAUAGCAAAUUACAAACUCAAGGGGGUGCACAAGUACCCUCGAUGGGGAGUCGAAAGAAGAUAAACCAUUCCUGUCAUGUGUUCCUGAUCUGAUAUUUGCACCACAAAAAACUCAGUUUCUUAGAUUCUGGGAUAAAAUGGAGGGACUACCUUUCCAGAAAUUACAAGCAGUACUGGAACAAAGAAUCUUAAGAAUCAGGAUACUAUACUCGAUGCCACUUCUGGUUCGCAUUUUGUUGGUGAUUCAUUGGUUUCUGAUACCAUUGAUAAAAAACCGUUUGGAGGGUGCCAAAGUUCUCCGACGGGUUGAUAAGAAGUUUAUACCGGUUGUGGCAGGCACAACACUUGCUAUAAUUAAUCAGCAUGCUGCAGAUGAGCAAUAUUCGUUUGGAUGAACUGCACGAGAAGGUCCUAUCUGGAAAAAUGAGGAUAACAACCUAUCUUGAUUCUGAGCAAGGAUUGGUGCGUUAUUUUGAUAAAAGGUAACGUUGAUUUUGAGUCUUGUGGUGAUGUCUUGAAACUCUUUAUGAUAGGUAACAUUGAUUUUGAGUCUUUGGCCAUGCUUUUCCUGGUCAUGCCUAAAUUUGGUUACCAAUUACUACACAACUAUGCUGGCCAAAUUCAAAACAGGGUUUGGAUCUGCAACAUAUGUUAUUAAGCUUCAAGAUCAUUUACUAGAUGGAUCAUCAAUAGUACCCCCAUCAGUGAACUGGGUUCUGAAUAACAAGGCUUGCGGGAGUAGAAUAAUGUUUGAAGACGCAUUGUUUCCUUGAGAAUGUUCUCUCAUCGUUGUGGAGUUCAUUGUGUUUUCAAUGUGCUCAUGGGCAAUCAUGUCAUGGAUUGCAUUGGCAUGAAACCAACCCAGAACGUGCAGCAAAGCGACUUAGAUCAGACGUAUCCUAGUGUCAAAAAGCUCUCAUGAGUAUACCUACCAAGCAAUCAUUUCGAGCUGAAAAUAUCAGCCAAAUUUGCAGAAAAUGAAAACAAAAGAAAUUGGGUUGGGCAAAGUGAACUUAGCAUAUGUACAAAAACAAAGAACUUAGCAUACAAUAUGUACAGUUGAAAUUGAUGAUGAACACGCACAUACUCAACAUGUUGGGUAAUGAAUGAUAUAUUUGGAUCGAGUUUAUCUUAUUUCAAAUCGUGCAUUUGUCACCUCUAAUUUUACCAAACGAAUCGACCAAAUUCCUUAA